GACGAACCGUGCGAACGUUGUUCGGAUUCACUGGGCUUAAAGGGCGCGUAGGCGGCUUGCCAAGUCAGGGGUGAAAUCUUUCGGCUCAACCGGAAACGUGCCCCUGAUACUGGCGGGCUGGAGGGAGGUAGGGGCAGACGGAACUUCCGGUGGAGCGGUGAAAUGCGUAGAGAUCGGAAAGAACACCAACGGCGAAAGCACUCUGCUGGGCCGACACUGACACUGAGAGACGAAAGCUAGGGGAGCGAAUGGG
rnacentral:rRNA from 1 species